GUGGGGCUGCCUCCCGGUAGGGUCUAGCACCCUGCGUGGCUCCCGCUCUGCGGGGCAAAGGACGGGGACGGGAUGGAGUCCCGGGGCAAGGGAGCCCCGCUGCCCUCGGUGCCAAUCAGGGAUCCCGCAGAACCGGCCUGAGGCCGGGGCAGGCCAAGGGGCACGAAGAGGGGGGCGGGGCGGGGCCAGGACCCUGUCCCGGACCCCCUGUCCCACUCCCGGCGCCACGGGGCCGCUCCCAGGGCAAGAGCAGCCCCACAUCCCCCACCGCGCCCGCCCGAGCUAAGAGGGCUCCGCAGGCGCGACAGCCCCUUCCCGCGGAGCGGGUUCCGGGGCCCUGCGGUUUCCUGUCUCGCUCUGCGUAGGCCCGACAAGGCCGGGCCGCGGGCUGUACAGCACUAACCAUCUGACAUGACAGGAGCAUGCCAGUAGCAGGCAGCUCCAGGCAUCUCCCCUGGCUCCAGCGCUCUCUGCCAUGACCCCCAGGAGCCCUCCAUCCUGCUCCGCAUGGCCUCAUCCCUCCCAGCUCGGCCUGGGAAGGAUGCUCAGCGAUGGCUGGAGCAGCUGGCCAGAUCUUGCUUUUAUUGCAGACCCAGCACUGGAAACUGGAGAAACUGGACAUCCUCACCCCUUUUCUCACCUUCUUGGGGACCAUCCUGUGGAACUCUAGCUGCUGUGUGUCAGCCAGCUGAAGGCCAAGCUGGACGGCCAGUAGCAUCCCAGUGGAUGGACGGUGAAGCCCCUAUGCAUCUGGUUGGGUCAUGCAUAGGAAAUCCCCAAACAUGGCUGGUGAGACACCUGGAGGCUCCCUGUGAAGCAGUGACAGGCAUCGCCUGCAGCACACGAGAUAACCAUGCUGGUGAGGCCUGGGGACAGGGCAGCGCAGGCCCCUCAUGCUGCCAGGGAACUCUGGGGACAAAGUGCUGUGUUCCCUGGGGAGAGCAAUUUCUGGCAGGGAGGAAUAGGAGCCAUUAG
rnacentral:lncRNA from 1 species